rnacentral:tRNA from 1 species
GCCCCGGUAGCUCAGUGGAUAGAGCAACGGUUUCCUAAACCGUUGGUCGCAGGUUCAAUUCCUGCCCGGGGUA